UAUUUACAUUCUUUUCUUUUUUUUUUUCCCCCCCGAGACGGAGCCUCAGUCUGUCACCAGGCUGGAGUGCAGUGGCGUGAUCUUGGCUCACUGCAACCUCUGCCGCCCAGGUUCAAGCAAUUCUUCUGCCGCAGCCUCCCAAGUAGCUAGGAUUACAGGCGCCUGCCACCACCCCUGGCUAAUUUUUGUAUUUUUAGUAGAGACGGGGUUUCACCAUCUUGGCCAGGCUGGUCUUGUACUCCUGACCUCGUGAUCCACCUGCCUCGGCCUCCCAGAGUGCUGGGAUUACAGGCAUGAGCCACUGCGCCUGGCCUAUUUACAUUAUUUUCUAUUCUCACAACCAUCCUUGUCAGAUGAGUGGUGGCGUCUCAUUUUGCAGGUGAGGCAGUAGACCCUGUUACUACUAUUAGACAGUGUUCCUUUUGCAGAAGAAUGAGCACCUGCUAUGUGGGCGUUAUAUAAUAUGUAUUUAAGUUUUUAUGUGCAAAUUAUAAUAAAAGCAAAAGUUAUGCAACUAAUUUUGCUGUCUUGCUUUUUGGAAAUACCCAACUAAGGCACGGUUGUGGUUUUCAUUGUUGAAAGGGUAGCAAUGUCCAAGAAAUUUAUUGUGGUAAAGGAUUGUGGAGAUCAUUUAGUUCAACCUAUUCAUGAUACAGGUUAUUCUUUUGUCUAAGAGUACCCUUUGGGAAUGAUCAGGCACUUUUCUGUUGAUUUUUUGGAGAAAUAUGGGAGAAACAGUGGAAUAUUUUUAUGACAUUUUUAGGAAAUCACCUGGCUUGGUUGGUAGUCCCACACUGACUUUCCUUAUGAAAAUUCUACAGAUGGAGGUGACACUAGCAGUGAUGAGGAUAAAGAAGAACAUGAAACUCCUCCUGUGGAAGUAGAACUCGUGACUCAGGUUGACCAAGAGGAUAUCACUCUUCAGAGUGGUAGAGAUGAACUAAAUGAGGAGCUCAUUCAGGAAGAAAGCUCUGAAGAUGAAGGAGAAUAUGAAGAGGUUAGAAAAGAUCAGGAUUCUGUUGGUGAAAUGAAGGAUGAAGGGGAAGAGACAUUAAAUUAUCCUGAUACUACCAUUGACUUGUCUCACCUUCAACCCCAAAGGUCCAUCCAGAAAUUGGCUUCAAAAGAGGAAUCUUCUAAUUCUAGUGACAGUAAAUCACAGAGCCGGAGACAUUUGUCAGCCAAGGAAAGAAGUCAACCAACCAGUCAACAGAUGUUUUAUUGAAUGCCUAAGACCUGCCAACGCUAUGUUGGUACAAAGACUACAGAUCCCAGUGCCUGGCCAUCAAGGGAAAUGAAAAAGAAAAAACUUCCAAGUGACUCAGGAGAUUUGGAAGUGUUAGAGGGAAAGGAUAAAGAAAAGGAAAGUACUAUACACAUUGAAACUCAUCAGAACACAAGCAAAAAUGUUGCGGCUGUGCAGCCAAUAAAACGAGGACAAAAGAGUAAAAUGAAAAAAAUGAAAGAAAAAUACAAAGACCAGGAUGAAGAAGACCGUGAACUUAUCAUGAAAUUGCUGGGGUCUGCAGGUUCAAACAAAGAAGAAAAAGGGAAGAAGGGGAAGAAAGGAAAAACAAAGGACGAACCUGUGAAGAAACAGCCCCAGAAACCCAGAGGUGGACAGAGGGUCUCUGACAACAUUAAGAAAGAAACUCCGUUCCUUGAGGUUAUAACUCAUGAGUUACAAGACUUUGCUGUAGAUGAUCCACAUGAUGACAAGGAAGAGCAAGAUCUGGAUCAACAGGGAAAUGAGGAAAACCUGUUUGAUUCUUUGACAGGCCAGCCACAUCCUGAAGAUGUACUACUGUUUGCCAUUCCAAUAUGCGCCCCUUACACCACCAUGACAAACUACAAGUAAGUUACCAUUAGUUGACAGAACGGCUUUUGUGGAUUGUUUUGUAACAUCUAUUUAGUAACACAUGUAAUUCCUUUUUAAAGAUACAAAGUGAAACUUACUCCUGGAGUGCAGAAAAAGGGAAAAGGUAUUUAAAUUUGUUUUUUUGAAUUAUGAUUUUAAACAGUUCAGUGACUUAACAGUAGAUUAUUCUUACUCUUUUUUGUAUUUACAGCUGCAAAAACAGCCUUGAAUAGUUUCAUGCAUUCCAAAGAAGCAACAGCAAGAGAAAAAGACUUAUUCCGCAGUGUAAAGGACACAGAUUUAUCAAGAAACAUUCCUGGCAAAGUGAAAGUGUCUGCACCCAAUCUUCUGAAUGUAAAAAGGAAAUAGCUGAAAUGAAAUUCUAAAAUAUUUGAGAAGAACCAAUUUUAUAGCCUUUUGGAAGUUCAAAGAUGAAAGCACCACGUAUCAGGACUUCCACAUUAUAAAAAUGAACUAAACAUUGCCUUGCUAUAUUCACCAAAAGGACUUAAUUCUUGUUUUUUUCCCAGUUUUAUAUAGAGGAAACACUGUCUAUGAUAGGAUUUCCUAAAGUAUUUGUGGACAGUUAAAUGCUAAUUAUAUACAUCUGUAGUUAUUCUACAUUUUCUUGAAAUUUGGGAGGUUAAUACCAAGUAUUCUUUUCAUGAUGUAAAGAAACUGAACAGUGAAGUGGCUUGACUGCUUAAACUAUUGGCUUGGUAAGUCUACUGUAUAUAACAUCUAAAUAUAUAUUACAGGCCAGCCACAAGGGGUUUAAAUAUUUAGGAUUGUGUCUUGAAAACUAAGUAUUGGAGUAGAUUUUCUUCUGCUUUCAUCGAUACUUGUCAAAAAAUAUAUUAGACCAAAAUGUAAAAUAUAAGUAAUAAUUCUCAUG
rnacentral:sRNA from 1 species